UAGGGAAUCUUCGGCAAUGGGGGGAACCCUGACCGAGCAACGCCGCGUGAGUGAAGAAGGUUUUCGGAUCGUAAAGCUCUGUUGUUAAGGAAGAACGAGUGUGAGAAUGGAAAGUUCAUGCUGUGACGGUACUUAACCAGAAAGGGACGGCUAACUACGUGCCAGCAGCCGCGGUAAUACGUAGGUCCCGAGCGUUGUCCGGAUUUAUUGGGCGUAAAGCGAGCGCAGGCGGUUAGAAAAGUCUGAAGUGAAAGGCAGUGGCUCAACCAUUGUAGGCUUUGGAAACUGUUUUACUUGAGUGCAGAAGGGGAGAGUGGAAUUCCAUGUGUAGCGAUGAAAUGCGUAGAUAUAUGGCGGAACACCGGUGGCGAAAGCGGCUCUCUGGUCUGUAACUGACGCUGAGGCUCGAAAGCGUGGGGAGCGAACAGG
rnacentral:rRNA from 1 species